CUCAAGAUAAUUCUGGAAACCUCUGUUUCCCCCUCGGCCGUUGAAGUUUUCAUUGAGAGCUUUUGCCUUCUCCGAACAAUUUAAGGGUCGAAAAAGCCAGCUGAUACAGAUGAAGAAAUUGUAAAUCAAUUCGGUUGUGAAUCAUCAAAACUUAUCAUGGUGGGUGAUAGGCCGUUUACAGACAUAGUUUAUGGUAUCAAAAAUGGCUUUCUUACUAUUUUCACAGAGCCAUUAAGUUGUGCAGAGGAGCCAUUAAUUGUACAGUAGAUUUCUUUUCAUAUUUCAUCCCACUCAGACGCUUCUUGCCGUCGCCGUAGGAAUCCAUAUAAUCGAAUUCGAUACGUACACGGAAAAUAAGAUUGCUUCGAUUGAUAUUAGUUCGCCUGUUGUUCGUAUAGCUUAUAGUCCAACAAGUGGACAUUGUGUAAUUGCUAUUAUUGAGGUUAGUCAUUAAAUAUCUUCAAUUCUUUUUGUUAAAACCUACAAAUGAUAACACUUGUUGCGUUAACAUGAACGCAAGUGUGCUGAAAGAUCAUGGCAUUAGGCUCAUGUGCUAACUUUGUAUGCCCGGAAAUAAUUAACUGGACAACUUCAUCUUUCCAGGAUGAAAAUAGUUGAAUGGGCUCUUAGAUCUGAUUUAUUGAGAAACCAUGAGAAAAUACUUUAGAUGGUGAUAUACUGGCUUAAGUUUUAGUGGUAAUUUGUUUGUCUAGGAAGGGUGAUUAUUAGAUCCAACUACACAAGAGACUUCCAUUUGCACGGUGCAAUUGAAAACCUUAGUUUUCUUUGUUUGAGACAAGGGUUGGGUGCUGGGGUAUUAUCAUCUAGCAUUCCACUGAAAAUAGCAGAUAAUUGUUCAUUUAGCUCUUUCUUUUUAACCUUAUAAUGAAAAGCUCUUUUCUUUUCUGUUUCUCAUUUUUGCAUUAUUAAUAUUCAUUUUCCAGUUGGGUAUAGAAUUUUCUUGAAAUUUAUGAUGUUUACCUUUUUGGAUUUUAUCGAUGUUUCUGUUAAUUGGAUUUCAUGAAAAAAAAUAAAUGGGAAGAUUUGGUUAAUUACUGCUUUAGCUUUAGUUUUGUUCAGAUUCAGGUAAAGUUUAGUUUUUUUCCUUGGUGGGGUUUUGUUUUUAUGAGUUACAAAGUUCCUAUCCAUACCUCAUUUGUGGGAUCAUAUUGUAUAUAUUUUUAUUGUUGUUAUAAUGAGAUUCGAACUAUUACACAAAAACCUAUUACGAACAGUCUCUUUAUCCUACAAAGGUCAGAAUAAACUCUGCAUAUAUCCCACCCUCCUCAUACCUCAUUUGUAGAAUUGCAUCAAAUAUGCUAUUAGUCUAGCUCAUGACUUCAUCUUAAUCAUUUUAUUGUAAACAAUUCAACUGUGGACAAUUCAAGAAGUAGGUGGAGAAAAACUUUGAAGUUUACAAUCACAAAUUUCUUUGUUGUUUCUUUUGUAUUUGCAUCUUGCUUUCUGCUAUUGUUAUUUUAUUUCAAUAUUGCGAUUUCACUUCUUUUGAACUGAGGGUUUGUCGAAGACCACUCUUAUCUCACAUAAUUUACGAAAAAUGGUUUGCAUAUAUUUACUCUCCUCAACUCCCAGUUGUGGAAUAUGUUAUUUUUAUUGUUACUUUGCUACCUUUGAGUAUGCCACUUCAAGAACACCCCUUUCAAUCGGUUACUUGCCACCUACUCUUGAAGAUGGUAGUUUGAUCAAUUUAUUUUCUCCAUUUGGUACCAUUGUGAUGGCUAAAGUUGUAAAGGAUCGUCUAAGUGGUAUGAGUAAAGGUUACGGAUUUGUUAAGUUUGCUGAUGUUGAACAAGCUAAUAGUGCGAUAACUAGCAUAAAUGGCCACCGUCUUAUAGGAAGAUCAAUUGCUGUGAGAGUUGCAGGUAAGCUGCCUCAGCCUUUGUUCCUCCAGGACCUGCACCAGUAAUACCUUCAUACCGGGUUCCUAAUCAGGGCAUGGGCGCAUAUCCAUUCCAACCAUACGUAGCGGGUGGUCCUAUUGUGAAUGCUUCACCUGGUGCUCUAGCUCCAUGGGGACCACCUGUGCCUCCACCAUAUGACCAGUACCCACCUCCUCCUCCUGGCUCAACCAUGUAUCCUUCUGUCCCAGGUCAACCCAUCCCUCCAUAUGGAAUGCAGUAUCCUUCUCCUAUUCCAGCAGCAUCAUCUGGUUCCCCAUGCUCAGACUGUUUCUUCCAGUGAACAAACUUAUACAUCGUCUGGCAAGGCACAACAAAUCUAUCCUCCUUGAGUGCAAUCUUAGAAUAGUGCACCAGCUCCUUCGGUUCCUACUUACGUGUAUGGAAGUUUUGUCACACCUAAUGCUCAACCUACAUACCAGACAUCUUAAUACAAUUAUCCAUCUUAUUAUGGUUACACAUUACCACCUCCUUCCCGAUCUGCAUCCCAGUCCAAUGGGAACCAUUCACAGGGUAUGAGUAAUCUUCCCUGGGCUCCAAAUGCGCUAGCUCACACACCUCCAUCAUCUGCGGAGAAGCCUGCUUAUGGUGCAGAUGCAAAAUAUGAGAAGUUUAUGUCAGAAAUGGAGUCAUGAUGCUAUGGCUAUAUCACCCUGCACUAUUAGGUUGGAAAAUUUCUUACCAAGUCUGUUCCAAAUUUUCUAUUUGGUCUCCUCUAUGUUGUUUGGUGUUUACUUUUCAGGCAUUUACACAUGUAUACAUCCUCAUCCUCACGCAUAUGCUCUACCAUGAACAACGAGAAUUCUUAACUAAUUUUACCAAGGUUUUUUCAAACUUCAAUGAAUGACGUAUUUUCCAUUUUUACAAGAAAAAGGCAACGUGUGUGUGUUAUGUGAAGAAUGCUUAACUCUAUGUUUUGAGAUCAGAAGUGAAAACCAUUUCAUGAGAUUAUAAGAAAGAAACACAGCAGACCGCUUAUUCUCCAGGAACUGAACUCUCUCUAUAUGUGUGUGUAUUGGUUUGUAUGUUCAUGAAUUCCUGAAAAUAUGGGAUUUGUUUCAAAGCUUGUACCCGACCCACAAAUACUUGGUUGCUUCUUUAGUUCAUCUUUCUUUUUCUCCCCCUUUCUGUUCACUUUUUCUUUUGAUAAUUUUCAUUCUUAAAACUUCUCGUUAUUAACAUUGUAAUAUUUUGGCAGGGCUGAUGUGUUAGAGAAUUUCACCUGAUUUCUUUCCUCUUGCCAUGAUUAGUUGUUGGAAAUUUCAGACUCACAUCUUUAACCUUGUUGUACUGUUAUGCAGAGAGAUGAGACACUCAGUUCAUUCAGCUUGUGUUGCAGCAUUAAAUCAGUGGAUUAUGGAUAUUGUGCAUUUUGUAGGAUCCAUUCUGGGGAUUGCCUUCAAGCAUUGUUUUUUAAAUUUUAUUUUAAUGAUUUAUUGGAAUUUCUUGAUGACUAAUCACUGAUAGUUUGUGUUUCAAUCCAAUCAGUGUUAUGUUUCUCCAAAUUCUAUUUUUCAUUCUUUUUGUUAGACACUGCUUAUAUGUCAUUACUAAAUGACUAUUGAAACGUAUCCAACAAUUGAAGAUUGCA